UAGGGAAUCUUCCGCAAUGGGCGAAAGCCUGACGGAGCAACGCCGCGUGAGUGAUGAAGGUCUUCGGAUCGUAAAACUCUGUUAUUAGGGAAGAACAAAUGUGUAAGUAACUAUGCACAUCUUGACGGUACCUAAUCAGAAAGCCACGGCUAACUACGUGCCAGCAGCCGCGGUAAUACGUAGGUGGCAAGCGUUAUCCGGAAUUAUUGGGCGUAAAGCGCGCGUAGGCGGUCAAUUAAGUCUGAUGUGAAAGCCCCCGGCUCAACCGGGGAGGGUCAUUGGAAACUGGUUGACUUGAGUGCAGAAGAGGAGAGUGGAAUUCCAUGUGUAGCGGUGAAAUGCGUAGAUAUAUGGAGGAACACCGGUGGCGAAAGCGGCUCUCUGGUCUGUAACUGACGCUGAGGCUCGAAAGCGUGGGGAGCGAACAGG
rnacentral:rRNA from 1 species